rnacentral:rRNA from 1 species
GACGAACGCUGGCGGCGUGCUUAACACAUGCAAGUCGAACGGAAAGGCCCUGCUUGCAGGGUACUCGAGUGGCGAACGGGUGAGUAACACGUGGGUGAUCUGCCCUGCACUUCGGGAUAAGCCUGGGAAACUGGGUCUAAUACCGGAUAGGAGCCAUUUUUAGUGUGAUGGUUGGAAAGUUUUUUCGGUGUAGGAUGAGCUCGCGGCCUAUCAGCUUGUUGGUGGGGUAAUGGCCUACCAAGGCGGCGACGGGUAGCCGGCCUGAGAGGGUGGACGGCCACAUUGGGACUGAGAGACGGCCCAGACUCCUACGGGAGGCAGCAGUGGGGAAUAUUGCACAAUGGGCGCAAGCCUGAUGCAGCGACGCCGCGUGGGGGAUGACGGCCUUCGGGUUGUAAACUCCUUUCGCUAGGGACGAAGCUUUUGUGACGGUACCUAGAUAAGAAGCACCGGCUAACUACGUG